rnacentral:lncRNA from 1 species
GUCCAUGAUAUUCUCAGGUUCCCAAAACUGAAAAUGUAUAUGAAUUUGUAUGAGAAUCGCGAGAACAAAGUCGGUCAUUCUAUGAAUAUAAAGACACCAAUAAAAAGAAUUGGACAAAGAUUGUAUAACCUUAUAAGCUCUUUAUUCCAAGAUCGACACAGUUGAAAGGCAAAGUUUAGUUUGAUGUCUUUAAAUAUGGUAGUUUCAUCGGCCUCUUGUGUCUGGUUUAUACAUUGAGUAAUAGAACGUAAGAACUCGUAGAGAAAUAACUUUCCAAGUAAGUAUAGAUGAUCUUCUUCGGAACCAGAUAUGUUAUAGCCCUAAAGGGAUAUCAAACAUACCUUUGACUUCCAACCAGUUUAAUACAAUGUAAACCCAAAAACUAUGUAACCGAGGAGCUUUGGUAAUGAAAACAAUAACCAAACACUUACAAUAGUCGGUUAAUCGGCAAACAAUGAGGCUUCCACAUGGCUAACUUCACUUCACACAACCACGACAACUUUAUCCAUGACAACCAGUUGUCCGAGAAUUUAUUUGUCCAUAGUUAACACUUUCUCGUGACCGUAAGUUUUGUCCAAGAUGCACAUGAAGU